rnacentral:rRNA from 1 species
AGUUUGAUCCUGGCUCAGGAUGAACGCUAGCGGCAGGCUUAACACAUGCAAGUCGAGGGGCAUCGGGUGUAGCAAUACAUGCCGGCGACCGGCGAAAGGGGUGAGUAACGCGUGAGCAACGGUGCCCGUAUGUGGGGGAUAGUCGAUGGAAACGUCGCGUAAUACCCCGUAACACAGAUUCCCCGCAUGGGGGUUUGUUGAAAGAUUGAUUGCAUACGGAUCGGCUCGCGUGCCAUUAGGUAGACGGCGGGGUAACGGCCCACCGUGCCGACGAUGGCUAGGGGUUCUGAGAGGAAGGUCCCCCACAUUGGAACUGAGACACGGUCCAGACUCCUACGGGAGGCAGCAGUGAGGAAUAUUGGACAAUGGCCGGAAGGCUGAUCCAGCCAUGCCGCGUGCGGGAAGACGGCCCUAUGGGUUGUAAACCGCUUUUGUUGGGGAGCAAUAAGGUCCACGUGUGGAUUGAUGAGAGUACCCAGCGAAUAAGCACCGGCUAAAUACGUGCC